GGCAGCCCCCUUGGGAGGGGUGUCUACGAGUUCCAGUAAGGAGAGGGGCUCAUGCCAACCCCUACAAUCUAGGACGGGACAGGCAGUUCGGGGGUUCCUUCUGAGCAAAGGAUUCGAACUUGGAGGGGAGGAUGAGCCUUUUCCUGGCGAACAAUGGUUUCUAAGACCCAAGGAACUGCUCAUCUGCUGACCUGUGUUCUAUUUUACAUGCUUCAUGACCUUUUCCUACAAUGGCCUUGGGGUCAGCAAGUUGAGAUUCGAAGAGCGUUUUGCCUGGAGAGGCCUACAGAGGAAAGCACCGUCAGAGGCCCCAGGACAUUACCUGCAGGAAACAAAGAAGCAUCGUAGGCUAAUGGACAGCCCCGUGUGCUGAGCAGGGUUCGUGCAGGCACGGUCCACUCUGAGGGCUUCGUGUGCACUAACGCAUGGAGCAGGUGCAUUUCUCAGGGCCCAGAAGCACUCUGGCAGAUGCAGUCUCCAGGGAGGUGUGCUCGGGGCUCUGCCUCCUGGGCCGAGGGUGCCCGUGUGCUGGGGUCGGGCUAAGCCUGUGGCAGUGGGCUCCCUGCUUCCUCAGAACACGUCCCUGAAGAUGGUCUGGCCCCAGCGAGCAUUACGGUCUGGGACUGGAGUGACAGAUGAGGAAACGGAAGCACCCACAGGCGAUCGCCUGAGGUCCCGGAUGAGGGGCGACAGGCCAGGACGGGGACCCAGUCUUCCAGUGCCGGAGGGCCCUCUCCAUGUGAGCACCUUGUUCGCACCGCCCAGCGGGGGAGGGAAGUGCUCUGGAAAGUGGUUUUCACCCGCGUCAUUGCAGUGUAAGAAAGCAAAACGUAAUUCUCCUCUGAGCUCACAUAGAAAUUUGAGAAAAAAUAGAAACAUAUGUAGGCUACAUAUGGUUUCUAUGAUUAGUUUGUUGUAGGCCAGAACUAAAGUUUUCUUAUGCCUUUAGGAACUUAAGCAUGUACCAUACAUAACAACUUAUAUAAUGAUCACAUUUGGCAUGUUUACAUUUAAAUCAGCAUUCUUUUUUAUAGUAAUUAUCAGAUGUAC